CUCGACCUCAGAUCAGGUAGGAAUACCCGC
rnacentral:rRNA from 1 species